rnacentral:lncRNA from 1 species
GAAAAGUCCGUUCUCAUUCACGUCCAUCUGAUUCGAGUUGUUGGCCUGUGGGGAGGGGUUGGCGUAGUUCUUUCUUCUAACUUCAGGUUUCUCCAGGGUCGCUGCCUUCAGAUGUCUUUAAUGACUCGUCACCUCUCAGUCACCAGGGCUCCAGCUGCUGCAGACUCCGACAUCCCUCGAGGGAAGGCAGGGCUUGGCCAGGGUGGGCAGCCGCCACCGGGGCUGUGCUGCACGUUCUUGUCCAAUCCCUUUCAAAAGAGCAAGCAGAGGUGACCCUCUUGGAUAAACAGGAGCCCGAUUUCUCUCUCCGUCUUGAAGAUGUUCCUCCCAAACGAAUAAUAAACCCAAAUAGAAAUCCAGGCUUUGGCCACAGCUGGUGGAACAGCCCCACUUGGGGGAGGUAAAGCAUUCCGGUUGCUCCUCAUUUCCCCUCCUACCUGUAUGAUCUUCUGGGGAAUAUUUAUUACAGAUUAAGAGAACCAUGAACAUCAGCAAGCUCCGAUUUUCUGAGAAACUCCUGCCUUGAUCACAGAGUUCUGUUCUCGGGGACACUAAGCCGAAGUGGACUAAGGAAAGGCCUUAGAAGGAGCUGAAAGAUGGUUCCAGAACAACCCAGUCCCAGUGUACGAGAACCAGCUGCAACUGCCAGGAGACCCGAGAUGGGCAGGCAGAUCCAGGAUGGCACAGAGUGCCAUUUAUCGGCCACUUAAUGACUGAAGUGUGGUUCUUGGGUGGCAGCGACACCAAGUGGGUUCCGCAAGUCGAGUCAGAAGGAGAGCUGUGCAUCCUGGGAAGGACAAAAGUAGCUCUAUCCCGGACGGAAGGGAGCUGGUUUCUCUCAAGCUGAUAUCCGAGGGCUGGGCCCAUUGCUGGCGCCAGAGUCCAGUUGUAAAGCUCCACAUACCUCUCGUGGUUUGAUCUAUUCGUAGCAUGCUAAGAAACUGUGCAGGAAGACUGGCGGGGACAAGGGUGGUGGUGUUAUGGACCAGGCUAUAUGAGCAAUGACCCAACAGACUCCAUUUUGCCCUAGACUCCAGGUAAUGUGAGAAACGCUUCUCCCAUGGGAAUACCCCCUCCAUACCCAUCAAUAGGUGCUUAGCAUAGAAUGUUAGGGGCACAAGAUGGCAAUUCUUAUAAGAUGUAAAAUUGUUGUCUCUUUGGUUCCCAUUUUCCUUGGACAAUGAACCCUGCCAGAGAAUGACUAUCUAGAUGUUAGUAACCAUUCUUUAACUUGUACUCAACUAGGGUCGUUUUGACCCACUUCUCCUUCUGCUUAUGAUUUGAGAUCUCAUGCUGUUUGUGGUCUUGAAUCAUAGCAACAGCUGCUUAUGACUCAUGUACUGGCAUGUUUUACUUAUGGUAUAAAAGGGGCACUCAAACCGCUGGAGGGGGUCGGAGAUGUAGACUUGCAGCCUGCCCCUGGUGGAUCCGAUCACCAGCUGGCGAUAAAGAUGGUUCAUCUUCUGCUUUAAGUUUGACUCAGUGAUUUAUUACAAUCUUUGCCAUAACUGUGGUGACGACUCAAGAUGGCCACAGUCACGUCAGUUGAAUCCACAUAGGCGUCAGGAAGGGCCUUAUCAUUAUAGGGCACACAUCACUUUGUAUAUUACCCCACGAUUUUUUGAUUGAACCCAGGAGAGCUUUACCACUGAGCUACAUCCCUGGUCCUAUUUAUGUAUUUAUUUUUGAGAGAGGGUCUCACUAAGUUGCCCAGGCUCAUCUCGAAUCUGAGAUCCUCCUGCCUCAGCCUCCUGAACUGCUGGGAUUACAGGUGUGCACCACCACUCCUGGCCACCUCACACAUUUCCCCAACAAUUUUCAUUUUGUAGUCAUGUCUAACAUAUGUCCACCCAACUUUGGUACAGGUGAAUACAGGUAGAUUUAUUAGCAUUAUCAAUACAGACUCAUGGACUCUUAAUUUUUUUUAACACAUAACUGUUCUUAAUAUAUCUGUAUCUCUAUCUCUAUAUUUUUAUUGAGAUGUUAAAAUUACCCUAGAUAUAAUUAUAUGACAGAAAUGGACUAGAAACCAUGAGUUUAUAGCUCUAAUUCAUACCAACUCUGCAGGGGGCUUCGUUGUUUCUCUCUUCCAUACUUCUGUCCCCUUCUCUGCUCAGGUCUACGAGACACAUAAAUAACAUGGUGUCUGCUACACUCGUUGCAGGAAAAGCAGACCUGAAAGGAGGGCACCAAGAUCUGCCUGCAGCGUCUUACUCUUGGGGAUGAAUAGUCCCAGUCCUGCACUUAGAUAAUGAGACUCUUUCCUCCUCCUCCUCCUCCUCCUCCUCCUCCUCAUUCUUCUUCUUUAAAUUUGUUCUUUUUAGUUAUACAUGACAGUAGAAUGCAUUUUAAAAUAUUAUACAGACCUGUUUGAGUUUUUCUUUUUAUUCUGUUUCAGGACUUUUAUUGUCUUGUUAAUUUAACUGCUCUUUUUAAUAUAUUGAAUAUUAACAUUAUUCCAAAAGUGUACAUUGCAUCAAUAGAUCCACAAGAGAAGUGCCGUUCCCUCCCCACUGCAACCUCUCUGGUCUAGUCCUCUUCCCCAGUCCACUUUAGGGAAUCAUUUAAUGACUUUCUG